rnacentral:misc_RNA from 1 species
GAAAUGCGAUAAGUAAUGUGAAUUGCAGAAUUCAGUGAAUCAUCGAAUCUUUGAACACACAUUGCGCCCGCCAGCACUCUGGCGGGCAUGCCUGUUCGAGCGUCAUUUCAACCAUCAAGCCCCCGGGCUUGUGUUGGGGACCUGCGGCUGCCCGCAGGCCCUGAAAACCAGUGGCGGGCUCGCUGUCACACCGAGCGUAGUAGCAAUCACCUCGCUCAGGGCGUGCUGCGGGUUCCGGCCGUUAAACAGCCUUACAAAACCCAAGGUUGACCUCGGAUCAGGUAGGAAGACCCGCUGAACUUAAGC